rnacentral:rRNA from 1 species
GAGUUUGAUCUUGGCUCAGAAUCAACGCUGGCGGCGUGCCUCAGACAUGCAAGUCGAACGAUUGAGACUCUCUUCGGAGAGUGUAUAAAGUGGCGCACGGGUGAGUAACACGUAGGUAAUGUACCUUUGAGUGGGGAAUAACUUAGGGAAACUUAAGCUAAUACCGCAUAAUGCAGCGGCUCGACAUCGAGACAGUUGUUAAAGGAGUAAUUCGCUUAAAGAGCAGCCUGCGGCAGAUUAGCUAGUUGGUAAGGUAAUGGCUUACCAAGGCUACGAUCUGUAACCGACCUGAGAGGGUGGUCGGUCACACUGACACUGAAUAACGGGUCAGACUCCUACGGGAGGCAGCAGUCGGGAAUUUUGGGCAAUGGGCGAAAGCCUGACCCAGCAACGCCGCGUGAAGGAUGAAGUAUUUCGGUAUGUAAACUUCGUAAGAAUAGGAAGAAUAAAUGACGGUACUAUUUGUAAGGUCCGGCUAACUACGUGCCAGCUGCCGCGGUAAUACGUAGGGACCAAGCGUUGUUCGGAUUUACUGGGCGUAAAGGGCGCGUAGGCGGUUUGUCAAGUCAGUUGUGAAAUCUCCGAGCUUAACUCGGAACGGUCAACUGAUAC